CCUAGGGGGGGCAGCAGUGGGGAAUAUUGGACAAUGGGGGCAACCCUGAUCCAGCCAUGCCGCGUGUGUGAAGAAGGCCCUCGGGGUGUAAAGCACUUUCAGUGAGGAAGAACGCCUGGUGGUUAAUACCCAUCAGGAAAGACAUCACUCACAGAAGAAGCACCGGCUAACUCCGUGCCAGCAGCCGCGGUAAUACGGAGGGUGCGAGCGUUAAUCGGAAUUACUGGGCGUAAAGCGCGCGUAGGUGGCUUGAUAAGCCGGUUGUGAAAGCCCCGGGCUCAACCUGGGAACGGCAUCCGGAACUGUCAAGCUAGAGUGCAGGAGAGGAAGGUAGAAUUCCCGGUGUAGCGGUGAAAUGCGUAGAGAUCGGGAGGAAUACCAGUGGCGAAGGCGGCCUUCUGGACUGACACUGACACUGAGGUGCGAAAGCGUGGGUAGCAAACAGGAUUAGAUACCCGUGUAGUC
rnacentral:rRNA from 1 species